rnacentral:rRNA from 1 species
GGAGCUGCCACAGCGAUCUGCAGGGACAAGCAUGGCAACUAUCUAGGAGCAUCAGCAGUCAUCAUCAAGGGGCUGGUGGACGCAGCUAGCCUUGAAGCACACGCCUGCAACGAGGCUCUUGCGCUGGCGAUAGACCUCAACAUCACACAUGCGAUCAUAGCCUCGGACUGCAUGCAAGUAGUGGCGGACAUUAACGGGAGAACGCUAUCUUCAUACGCUUUGGUUAUAGAUGAAAUAAAGGAGUCUAUGAAUGACUUUGUAAGGAUUAGUUUUCGUUUUGAGUGUAGGGAAGCAAAUUUGGAAGCUCACGCCAUCGCUAAGGCGGCUUCAGCGUUUCCCUCUGGUCGCCGUUUGUGGCUAGGGAUUUUGCCAGACAUUGCUUGUAUUGCUCCGGCUUUGAACCUUGAAUAA